AUUGAACGCUGGCGGCAGGCCUAACACAUGCAAGUCGAGCGGAAACGAUCCUAGCUUGCUAGGAGGCGUCGAGCGGCGGACGGGUGAGUAACGCGUGAGAAUCUACCCAUGAGUGGGGGACAACCCGGGGGAAACUCGGGCUAAUACCGCAUACGCCCUACGGGGUAAAGCAGGGGACCUUCGGGCCUUGCGCUGAUGGAUGAGCUCGCGUCGGAUUAGCUUGUUGGUGAGGUAAAGGCUCACCAAGGCGACGAUCCGUAGCUGGUCUGAGAGGAUGAUCAGCCACACCGGGACUGAGACACGGCCCGGACUCCUACGGGAGGCAGCAGUGGGGAAUCUUGGACAAUGGGGGCAACCCUGAUCCAGCCAUGCCGCGUGUGUGAAGAAGGCCUUCGGGUUGUAAAGCACUUUCAGCAGGGAGGAAGGCUUACCCCUAAUACGGGUGAGUACUUGACGUUACCUGCAGAAGAAGCACCGGCUAAUUUCGUG
rnacentral:rRNA from 1 species